AAUAAAAUAAAAUAAAAAUAAAAAUGAGCGCUAAACUAGUAGCCAAGUUGCAAAAUCAGGCACUAAGCAAACCAACAAAAAUUGGUGACGCUGUGGUCACGUGCUCAAAUGCAUGGCCCACUUACAUAUUAACACGCAUCAGUUCCACGUCAGAUAUAGAGACAAUAUCCUAUCGUGGUCGUUCGUGCCACGUUGGCUUCGUAUCUGUACAGAGACAGGCUCCAGUCACAAUAGCCACCCACCUGGAAUUGGAAUGGUUGGGUGGGUAGGUGGAGGUUUAGCCAUAGUUUAAUUAUAAUUAUUAGAUUUAAUCAUGACAGUGUGUGGGGCCCAAAACACGUCAGCUCUGACUGUAACACAAUAGAUUUCCCAGUGCAAUAAUACAGUAAAAUGGUUAAUUUUGACGUAAUUACAACCGUUGGAUUUUGUUAAUUUUUUUUUAUCGGAUAUUUUUAUUUCCACGUAUCAGUUUUACAAUAUAAAAAAAUAAUUCUUUUAAGAACUAUGAUAGUUUCUUUUAAUAAUAAUUUUUUUAAAGAUCGAAUCUAA
rnacentral:misc_RNA from 1 species